UACAGAGGUCUCAAGCGUUGUUCGGAUUCAUUGGGCGUAAAGGGUGUGUAGGUGGCGCCGUAAGUCGGGUGUGAAAUUUCGGAGCUUAACUCCGAAACUGCAUUCGAUACUGCCGUGCUUGAGGACUGGAGAGGAGACUGGAAUUACGGUGUAGCGGUGAAAUGCGUAGAUAUCGUAAGGAAGACCAGUGGCGAAGGCGGGGUCUCUGGACAGUUCCUGACGCUGAGGCACGAAGGUCAGGGGAGCAAACGGGG
rnacentral:rRNA from 1 species